rnacentral:lncRNA from 1 species
GUCCAGGUGGCCACUUUAAGCUCGCAUUGCUGAGCACCAGGCUAAAAAAAGAUAGCUGUCAGGGAUGGAGAAUUAAUGUUGCUGGGUUGUUUGCUUUCUAAAAAAGGGAUUGUUACAGAUAGUAGUGAGUGAUUGAGUCAUGCAAGAUCUCUGAGGGAAUGACCGUCUCUUCAAAAAUACUAAGAAAGUAUUACUUCAAGGUAAAAGGAUGUGAACAUGAAGAGUAUGGCAACAAUUCAAGGAAAACAAGUUGAUGAACAUAAAGGUUCACAAAGAAGUUGAGGCAUCUUGAGGUGCCAAUAUGUGAUUGUGUGACAGCAGACAGGAAAAUGACUGCAAAUGAGAAUACGGAGGCGAAGAGGGUUGGAGUAAGAGUUCCAGAUGUUUCGACAGCUUACUAGAAAGAAAUGGACUGACGGAAUGCUUCUUAAUUUUCCAGUUUCAUCAAAGAGGUUUACAGAUACAAAACAAAGAAAUGAAGAUGUGUAAGACAAUACCUACAUUCAUCCUGCUGCUUACAGGGUAUUUUGUUCAUUUUAGCAUACAGUGUCACAAUUAAUGCAAGCUGCUGUGACAAACUAUGAACUCUUAAUGAGAUAAAAUGUUCAUCACUGUAAAUUGAGGUCACAUACCAGGUCACCAGUUCCUGAAAG